UACGGAGGGUGCGAGCGUUGUCCGGAAUCACUGGGCGUAAAGGGCGCGUAGGCGGCCUGAUAAGUAGGGGGUGAAAUCCUGCGGCUUAACCGCAGGGCUGCCUUCUAAACUGUCAGGCUUGAGCACAGUAGAGGCAGGUGGAAUUCCUGGUGUAGCGGUGAAAUGCGCAGAUAUCAGGAGGAACACCGAUGGCGAAGGCAGGUCUCUGGGCCACUACUGACGCUGAGAAGCGAAAGCAUGGGGAGCGAACAGG
rnacentral:rRNA from 1 species